rnacentral:rRNA from 1 species
AUGUGCACCCUAUUGAAGACUGUUGUGUUCCUGCUCUUCUACACUACCAUGGGAGAUGAUGUACUAGCAUGUUGUCAACGUGAAGCGGGAGCUCCUGCAGAGGAGCAGCCAAAUCAUGUCACAGAUGUUCUCAUGUGGUUGCACCAGCAGUAUCUAUGCCAGCAACACAUCAAGAAGAGCGAGAGCUAUGGGAAACCAAUCAACAUGGGAGGUAGAUUCUCUUCAGUGCUAGGCCACCGUUACACUGCGGAGAGUCCUAGAGGGAUCAAAACACAUACAAUUAGAAAGGAGAUGACAAGCCUGAAAAUAUAA